rnacentral:rRNA from 1 species
UACGUAGGGGGCGAGCGUUGUCCGGAAUCAUUGGGCGUAAAGAGCGUGUAGGCGGCCAGGUAGGUCCGGUGUGAAAACUCGAGGCUUAACCUCGAGAUGUCAUCGGAAACCAUCUGGCUAGAGUCCGGAAGAGGAAAGUGGAAUUCCUGGUGUAGCGGUGAAAUGCGCAGAUAUCAGGAAGAACACCAAUGGCGAAAGCAGCUUUCUGGGACGGUACUGACGCUGAGACGCGAAAGCGUGGGGAGCGAACAGG